rnacentral:tRNA from 1 species
UCCUUGGUGGCUUAGACGGUAAAGCAUCUGCCUACAAUGCAGGAGACCCAGGUUCGAUCCCUGGGUCUGGAA